GACGAACGCUGGCGGCGUGCUUAACACAUGCAAGUCGAACGGAAAGGCCCUGCUUGCAGGGUACUCGAGUGGCGAACGGGUGAGUAACACGUGGGUGAUCUGCCCUGCACUUCGGGAUAAGCCUGGGAAACUGGGUCUAAUACCGGAUAGGAGCCAUUUUUAGUGUGAUGGUUGGAAAGUUUUUUCGGUGUAGGAUGAGCUCGCGGCCUAUCAGCUUGUUGGUGGGGUAAUGGCCUACCAAGGCGGCGACGGGUAGCCGGCCUGAGAGGGUGGACGACCACAUUGGGACUGAGAUACGGCCCAGACUCCUACGGGAGGCAGCAGUGGGGAAUAUUGCACAAUGGGCGCAAGCCUGAUGCAGCGACGCCGCGGGGGGGAUGACGGCCUUCGGGUUGUAAACUCCUUUCGCUAGGGACGAAGCUUUUUGUGACGGUACCUAGAGAAGAAGCACCGGCUAACUACGUG
rnacentral:rRNA from 1 species